CGCCCUUGAGUUUGAUCAUGGCUCAGAUUGAACGCUGGCGGCAUGCCUAACACAUGCAAGUCGAACGGCAGCACAGCAGAGCUUGCUCUGUGGGUGGCGAGUGGCGGACGGGUGAGUAAUGCAUCGGGACCUACCUAGACGUGGGGGAUAACGUAGGGAAACUUACGCUAAUACCGCAUACGUCCUACGGGAGAAAGCAGGGGACCUUCGGGCCUUGCGCGGUUAGACGGACCGAUGUUCGAUUAGCUUGUUGGUAAGGUAAUGGCUUACCAAGGCGACGAUCGAUAGCUGGUCUGAGAGGAUGAUCAGCCACACUGGAACUGAGACACGGUCCAGACUCCUACGGGAGGCAGCAGUGGGGAAUAUUGGACAAUGGGCGCAAGCCUGAUCCAGCAUUUUUUUUUGUGUGAAGAAGGCCUUCGGGUUGUAAAGCACUUUUAUCAGGAGCGAAAUACUACCGGCUAAUACCCGGUGGGGCUGACGGUACCUGAGGAAUAAGCACCGGCUAACUUCGUGCCAGCAGCCGCGGUAA
rnacentral:rRNA from 1 species